UACGAAGGGGGCUAGCGUUGCUCGGAAUCACUGGGCGUAAAGGGUGCGUAGGCGGGUCUUUAAGUCAGGGGUGAAAUCCUGGAGCUCAACUCCAGAACUGCCCUUUGAUACUGAGGAUCUUGAGUUCGGGAGAGGUGAGUGGAACUGCGAGUGUAGAGGUGAAAUUCGUAGAUAUUCGCAAGAACACCAGUGGCGAAGGCGGCUCACUGGCCCGAUACUGACGCUGAGGCACGAAAGCGUGGGGGAGCAAACAGG
rnacentral:rRNA from 1 species